rnacentral:rRNA from 1 species
UACGGAGGGUGCAAGCGUUAAUCGGAAUUACUGGGCGUAAAGCGCACGCAGGCGGUCUGUCAAGUCGGAUGUGAAAUCCCCGGGCUCAACCUGGGAACUGCAUUCGAAACUGGCAGGCUAGAGUCUUGUAGAGGGGGGUAGAAUUCCAGGUGUAGCGGUGAAAUGCGUAGAGAUCUGGAGGAAUACCGGUGGCGAAGGCGGCCCCCUGGACAAAGACUGGCGCUCAGGUGCGAAAGCGUGGGGAGCAAACAGG